GACGAACGCUGGCGGUGUGCUUAACACAUGCAAGUCGAACGGUAAGGCCCUUUCGGGGGUACACGAGUGGCGAACGGGUGAGUAACACGUGAGUAACCUGCCCUCAUCUCUGGGAUAACAGUCGGAAACGGUUGCUAAUACUGGAUAUGAGCUUGCAAGGCAUCUUGUGGGUUGGAAAGAUUUUUUUUGGUUGGGGAUGGACUCGCGGCCUAUCAGCUUGUUGGUGAGGUAGUGGCUCACCGAGGCUUCGACGGGUAGCCGGCCUGAGAGGGCGACCGGCCACAUUGGGACUGAGAUACGGCCCAAACUCCUACGGGAGGCAGCAGUGGGGAAUAUUGCACAAUGGACGGAAGUCUGAUGCAGCAACGCCGCGUGCGGGAUGACGGCCUUCGGGUUGUAAACCGCUUUCAAUUGUGACGAAGCUUUUUUGUGACGGUAGCAGUAGAAGAAGCACCGGCUAACUACGUG
rnacentral:rRNA from 1 species